UACGUAGGGGGCAAGCGUUGUCCGGAUUUAUUGGGCGUAAAGAGCGUGUAGGCGGCCAUGCAGGUCCGUUGUGAAAACUCGAGGCUCAACCUCGAGACGCCGGUGGAAACCGUGUGGCUAGAGUCCGGAAGAGGAGAGUGGAAUUCCUGGUGUAGCGGUGAAAUGCGCAGAUAUCAGGAAGAACACCCGUGGCGAAGGCGGCUCUCUGGGACGUGACUGACGCUGAGACGCGAAAGCGUGGGGAGCGAACAGG
rnacentral:rRNA from 1 species